UAACUCUGGUUUCCCUUCAAAACGCAUAAAUCUUUCGCCUUUUACUAAAGAUUUCCGUGGAGGGGAACAACUCAAUGAGUCUGAAGAAAUUUUUAUUGACCCACUUAGUGGGUU
rnacentral:snRNA from 1 species